GACGAACGCUGGCGGCGGGCUUAACACAUGCAAGUCGAACGGAAAGGCCCUGCGUUUGUGGUGUGCUCGAGUGGCGAACGGGUGAGUAACACGUGAGUAACCUGCCCUUGACUUUGGGAUAACUUCAGGAAACUGGGGCUAAUACCGGAUAGGAUCUCCUGCUGCAUUGUGGGGGUUGGAAAGUUUCGGCGGGUGGGGAUGGACUCGCGGCUUAUCAGCUUGUUGGUGGGGUAGUGGCUUACCAAGGCUUUGACGGGUAGCCGGCCUGAGAGGGUGACAGGCCACAUUGGGACUGAGAUACGGCCCAGACUCCUACGGGAGGCAGAAGUGGGGAAUAUUGAACAAUGGGCGGAAGCCUGAUGCAGCAACGCCGCGUGCGGGAUGACGGCCUUCGGGUUGUAAACCGCUUUCGCCUGUGACGAAGCGUGAGUGACGGUAAUGGGUAAAGAAGCAACGGCUAACUACGUU
rnacentral:rRNA from 1 species